rnacentral:rRNA from 1 species
GACGAACGCUGGCGGCGUGCUUAACACAUGCAAGUCGAACGGAAAGGCCCUGCUUUUGUGGGGUGCUCGAGUGGCGAACGGGUGAGUAACACGUGAGUAACCUGCCCUUGACUGUGGGAUAACUUCAGGAAACUGGGGCUAAUACCGGAUAGGAGCUCCUGCUGCAUGGUGGGGGUUGGAAAGUUUCGGCGGUGUGGGCUGGACUCGCGGCUUAUCAGCUUGUUGGUGGGGGAGUGGCUUACCAAGGCUUUGACGGGUAGCCGGCCUGAGAGGGUGACCGGCCACAUUGGGACUGAGGUACGGCCCAGACUCCUACGGGAGGCAGCGGUGGGGAAUAUUGCACAAUGGGCGGAAGCCUGAUGCAGCAACGUCGCGUGCGGGAUGACGGCCUUCGGGUUGUAAACCGCUUUCGCCUGUGACGAAGCGUGAGUGACGGUAAUGGGUAAAGAAGCACCGGCUAACUACGUG